UACGAAGGGGACUAGCGUUGUUCGGAAUUACUGGGCGUAAAGCGCACGUAGGCGGAUUUGUAAGUCAGGGGUGAAAUCCCGGGGCUCAACCUCGGAACUGCCUUUGAUACUGCAAAUCUCGAGUCCGAUAGAGGUGGGUGGAAUUCCUAGUGUAGAGGUGAAAUUCGUAGAUAUUCGGAAGAACACCAGUGGCGAAGGCGGCUCACUGGUCCGGUACUGACGCUGAGGUGCGAAAGCGUGGGGAGCAAACAGG
rnacentral:rRNA from 1 species